GCUAUGAUGUCAUUAAAAAUAGGAAGAUGUGGUAUGAGUGCCAAUAAGACAACUCUCCAUCUAAGUCACAAUAGAAAUAAGAAGAUGUGGUAUGAGUGCCAAUGAGACAAUAUCCAUCUAAGUCACAAUAGAAAUAGGAAGAUGUGGUAUGAGUGCCAAUGAGACAACUCUCCAUCUAAGUCACAAUUUAUAAAAGUAAACCAUUAUAGGUCAAGGUACAGUCUUCAACACAGAGCCUACGCUCACACCGAACAGCAAGCUGUAAAGGGCCCCCAAAAAUUUCUAGUGUGAAACCAUUCAAACAGGAAAACCAGCAGGUCUAAUCUAUAAAAAAACGAGAAACGGGAAACAGAUAUAAACCACAUCAACAGACGACAAAUACUGAACAUCAGAUUCCUGACUUAGGACAGUUGCAAACAAUUGCAGCGGGAUUAAACGUUUUUAAAGUAACAAACAUUCUCCCUUAUCUGAAACAAUAGUGUAACAUUGUCGUUGUUAAUUGGGACGUCUGAAGAUGCAUUUGCUGUCAGGACAAUGACUUUUGUUUAAGUGAAUGGAUCUCUAUGAAAUUUCACAAAAAGAUUCAAUACCACAAAAUGAAGGUUGGGAUCAAAUUAACAGUUUAGGAAUAAGGGGACAAAAACAAGUUUUUUGUAGUUUCUAGACAAUAACCUGUAUAUGGAUAUCUCUGAAAGGUUGCAUACCACUAAGUGAUUGCUGCGAUCAAGG
rnacentral:lncRNA from 1 species